UCAGAUAAGAGUACCCGCUGAACUUAAGCAUAUCAAUAAGCGGAGGAAAAGAAACUAACAAGGAUUCCCUUAGUAACGGCGAGUGAAGCGGGAAGAGCUCAAAUUUGAAAUCUUCAAGGUUCUACCUUGACGAAUUGUAGUUUAAAGAAGUGUUUUCUGUUAGAGGAGUGGCAAAAGUUCUUUGGAAUAGGACAUCAUAGAGGGUGAGAAUCCCGUAUUUGGUCAUUCUUUCUAGCUGUGUGAUACACUUUCAAAGAGUCGGAUUGUUUGGGAAUGCAGUCCAAAAUGGGUGGUAAAUUUCAUCUAAAGCUAAAUAUUGGCGAGAGACCGAUAGCGAACAAGUACCGUGAGGGAAAGAUGAAAAGAACUUUGAAAAGAGAGUUAAACAGUACGUGAAAUUGUCAAAAGGGAAGCGUUUGACACCAGUGUUGUUUUUCCGAAAAUCAAUUGUGCCUGGCUGGAUUUUGUAGGAGUUUGACCUUAUCAGCUUCUUCUGCUUUUUUCCGGUCUGGUGCAAUGCACUUUUCGGUUAACAAGUCAACAUCAAUUUCUUUUGUUGUAAAAGGGUAAUUGGAAGGUGGCUUUCUUUUCGGAGAAAGUGUUUAUAGCCUUUUACCUCUACAAUCGGAGAGAUUGAGGUCUGCAGCGUAGAUCCUUCGGGGUUAGAUACAUUUGUGCUAAGUUAUAGCCCUGUAUAGACAACUUGUUGACUAUACUCGGUCAUGUAGCUUACUCGCUUAUGCUAUUUUACCUACGCUUAGGAUGUUGACAAAAUGGUUUUAAACGACCCGUCU
rnacentral:rRNA from 1 species